ACAGUCAUGUCACAUUUAUACUUCGGUUCCCCGUACGAUCACCGAAGUUAAGAAACGUCGAGCCUAGUCAGUACCUAGAUGAGUGACCGCUUGGGAAUAUCAGGUGCUGUAAG